ACGCCUAAUACAUGCAAGUCGAACGAAGUAGCAAUACUUAGUGGCAGACGGGUGAGUAACAUGUAGGUAUCUUCCCUUUGGUGAGGAAUAACACGAGGAAACUUGUGCUAAUACCUCAUAAGUCUUUACGGAGAAAGCUUUAUGCGCCAUUGGAUGAGCCUGCACUUGAUUAGUUUGUUGGUGGGGUAAUGGCCUACCAAGACAAUGAUCAAUAGCUGAUUUGAGAGGAUGAUCAGCCACAUUGGGACUGAGACACGGCCCAAACUCCUACGGGAGGCAGCAGUAGGGAAUCUUGCACAAUGGGGGAAACCCUGAUGCAGCGAUGCCGCGUGAGUGAAGAAGGCCUUUGGGUUGUAAAGCUCUUUCGUCGGGGAAGAAAAUGACUGUACCCGAAUAAGAAGGUCCGGCUAACUUCGUGCCAGCAGCCGCGGUAAUACGAAGGGACCUAGCGUAGUUCGGAAUUACUGGGCUUAAAGAGUUCGUAGGUGGUUAAAAAAGUUGGUGGUGAAAUCCCAGAGCUUAACUCUGGAACUGCCAUCAAAACUUUUUAGCUAGAGUAUGAUAGAGGAAAGCAGAAUUUCUAGUGUAGAGGUGAAAUUCGUAGAUAUUAGAAAGAAUACCAAUUGCGAAGGCAGCUUUCUGGAUCAUUACUGACACUGAGGAACGAAAGCAUGGGUAGCGAAGAGGAUUAGAUACCCUCGUAGUCCAUGCCGUAAACGAUGUGUGUUAGACGUUGGAAAUUUAUUUUCAGUGUCGCAGCGAAAGCAAUAAACACACCGCCUGGGGAGUACGACCGCA
rnacentral:rRNA from 1 species